rnacentral:pre_miRNA from 1 species
CAGAGCUGUGGAGUGUGACAAUGGUGUUUGUGUCCAUCUAUCAAACGCCAUUAUCACACUAAAUAGUUCC